rnacentral:rRNA from 1 species
GAUUAUAUAAGUGUUUAUUUUUGUUUUUAUAUUAUAGUAAAUUAGUAUUAUGAGUGAAAAUUUUGUGAUUUUAAAAGAUUAUUGUACUGUAGGGGAAUUGAGAUUAUUUGUGAUAAAUAUUAGGUUUGUUAUUACCUUUUGUAUUAGGGUUUAUUAAUGUGAUAAAAUAUUAAGAUUAUAUCUCGAUGAAUAUCGGGCUAUUAUUUAUGAGUAUUAAAUUUAUUGCAUAAAAUUAAUUAGUAUUUAAUAGUUAUGAAAUAUUAUUCAAGUUAUUGUUUAUCUGGUUUCCUAAGAGAUUUAAUAUAAGAUAUUUGUAUUAUGACUGUAGGUAGGGAUUAGCUUAUUUAUUAUUUAUAUGUAAAUUUAUUGAGUUUCAUUGGUGAAGUUGAAAGUUCUUAGUUAUAUGGUGUUAUUACUAAUUGUAGAGUAAUUUUUAUUUUAUUUUAUUAUGUUAAAAUUAGGAGUGCUAGUUUAAUUUAAAUCUGGUGAUAUUAUGAUAAAAUUAGUAAUGAGAUUGUUAUAAUUAAGUAAGGUUUUGUAUUUGAUUAUAUUUAAUAAGUUAAUUUAAGAUGAAGAAUUAGGCAAAUUAACCUUUGACUGUUUAGCAAAAACAUUGUUUUUUGUGAGUAUAAGAAAUACGUUCUGCCCGCUGCUAUUAGUGAAGGGCUGCAGUAUUUUGACUGUAUGAAGGUAGCAUAAUCAUUAGCUUUUUAAUUGGGGGCUGGUAUGAAGGUGAAACAGAGGUUGACUAUUUUAUUUUAAUAAGAUGAAUUUUGUCUUUAUGUGAAAAAUCAUAAGUUAAUUAAAGGGACAAGAAGACCCUAGUAAAUUUUAUUUUUGAUUAUGAUGCGGAUAUAGGAUAUAAAUAAUUUGUGCAAUUUGUUUUCUGGGGUUUGACUGGGGCGGUAUGUAAGAAACAUUAUUUAUCUUUAACUUUUGAUGGCGAUUUAAGACCUAAUUGGUUUAGUUGAGUGGAAAAUUACUGUAGGGAUAACAGCGUAAUUUUCUUUAAGAGUUCUAAUUGACAGGGAAGUUUGCGACCUCGAU